GAUUCUGGCUCAGAACGAACGCUGGCGGCAGGCCUAACACAUGCAAGUCGAGCGCGCCCUUCGGGGUGAGCGGCGGACGGGUUAGUAACGCGUGGGAACGUACCCUUUGGUAGGGAAUAGCCACUGGAAACGGUGAGUAAUACCCUAUGAGCCCUUCGGGGGAAAGAUUUAUCGCCAAAGGAUCGGCCCGCGUUAGAUUAGGUAGUUGGUGGGGUAAUGGCCUACCAAGCCUACGAUCUAUAGCUGGUUUUAGAGGAUGAUCAGCAACACUGGGACUGAGACACGGCCCAGACUCCUACGGGAGGCAGCAGUGGGGAAUCUUGGACAAUGGGGGCAACCCUGAUUCCCAGCCAUGCCGCGUGAGUGAAGAAGGCCUUAGGGUCGUAAAGCUCUUUCGCCUGUGAAGAUAAUGACGGUAGCAGGUAAAGAAACCCCGGCUAACUCCGUGCCAGCCGCUGC
rnacentral:rRNA from 1 species